UUCCGGACAAGCCCGAAGACCCUUUUGGCCUCCUCCCACCCAGCCUCCCACCAUUUUCCCAUCCCUAAUCAAAUUCCCAUUUUCUCGAGAAACAAACAGAAAAUAUCACAAAAGGAGAUCAAGAGAUCCAAUCUCUUCGCCUCCAACACCAAAGAGGUGGCCUGACAUCAAAACACACACACACUCACCACCGCAACAAUCAGAACCAUGUGGCGGAGACUGCUCUCUUCCUCUCAGCUCAAAACCUUAACCCUAGCCGCCGCUGGUACUGCAGCAGCUCCAUGCCGAUCGGCUGCUGGACCCGCCCGCUCUCUCCUCCACAAGCCCCUCCCUCUCCUCCCUAGCUACUUCAGCACCACCGCCGAAGCUGCGACGACUGGUGUGAAGAAGGUUGAGGAGGUACAGCCCAUUGCCACCGGCCACGAGCGAGAGGAGCUUGAAGCUGAACUUGAGGGAAGGGAUGUUCUGGAAAUCAACCAUCCUAUUGGUCCUUUUGGCACAAAGGAAGAACCUGCGGUUGUCAAGUCCUACUACAACAAGAGAAUAGUUGGGUGCCCUGGUGGUGAAGGCGGUGGGUUCUUCUAUGUUCAUUGUUUCUCUUCUCUUUAGGAUGAGCAUGAUGUUGUGUGGUUUUGGCUGGAGAAAGGCAAACCACAUGAAUGCCCAGUCUGCACACAAUACUUUGUGCUUGAAGUGGUUGGACCCGGUGGAUCUCCAGACCAUUCCGAUGACCAUCACUGAUUUGAAUCGACCAAAAUUCAGGAGGGAGAUGGAGAGAUGAUAUCCAAUAUACGCCGCAGCUAUAACUUUCAAAAUUGGAAGCCUUUUGUUUUUGUUUGGUUGAUUGAUGUUUAGUUUUGUAAUUUGUGGCUGUUGCUUUUGCAACAUUUGAGAUAGAACCUCUGUGAUAAUUUAGACACAGGGAACAACCUUUCGGAACACUAUGGAUCUUGUAAGGACGCCCUUCUCUGCAUUUGCCAAAAUAAUUGAUGGGUACUGCUUGUUCAUACUUU